AUGAUUUCUAAUCCUCACCUUCUCUUUUCCAGUUGGGCUGCUAUUUUACCCCGUGAAGUGUGAACUCCAACCAGGCCUCUUAAGUUAGAGUUAGCUAAUAUCCCGAAUUACAGAAAAGCAGGUGGUUACACCAACAGAUAAUGAACUGAUAGUUGUUGGAGAUGGUCAUUCAGGUACCAUAUCUGUUCGUGCAGCUGGUAUCUUCCUAUAGAAUGCUUUGACCUCAGCAAAACAUAAUUUAUUUCAUCUAAGGUAAUUAUAUCAAGCAAUUGUUCUACCUGUUAAUGGGCUAACUGAUGAAAAUAUAUAUGGCUAGAGUGUUGGUCGGACAUCGGUGCUGGACCAACACAAAGGUGAUAAUCCUUUUUAAUAUAGAUUUGUGUAUGCGUGUUUUGGAUCCGGAUCCUGGAAUGAGAAGAUGAGCCGGUCCGCGUGGGCCGUGUCGCCGAACUUGGUGACGUGGCGGAAGAAGAGCACCAGGAGGCCCGAGAGGAGGUGACUAUCAUCGAAUAUGCCAUAGUUCCGGUAGAGCUACCGCUUAAACAAAUUUCUGUGAAAUUUUUAUACUCCCUGAUCCACGACAUGCAUUUCAAAGAAAUUCACAAUUCUGGUGAAAUCCCUACGUUUCAAAGACCGCUGAAACUAAAAUCAGGAGUGUGCCAACUGCACGUGUCAUGUGAAUUUCUCAAUGUUUCAGUCAGUUAUAUGCUUAUUGGUUGGGUUCGUAUCAUUUUGAGAAAAUGACUGACAUAUUUUCCUACCACCCCUGUUCUUUGCUGCUGUAACUGUCAUUUGAUUUUGUAUUUCGGGAUUGUGAUCUGGGGUGCAGAAACCUUUGCAUUGCUGGGUGAUAAGACGAUGGUGAUGUCCCCUGAAGUGCUCGUGGAUUCAGGGGUUCCCUGUU